UACAGAGGCCCCAAGCAUUACCCGGAAUUGCUGGGCGUAAAGGGUGCGUAGGUGGUCGUAUUAGUCGUCUGUUAAAAACUGGGGCUCAACCCCAGAAGUGCGGGCGAAACGGUACGACUCGAGAGCGUGAGAGGUGCAUAGAACUCUAGGUGCAGGGGUGAAAUCCGUUGAUAUCUAGGGGAAUACCGAAAGCGAAGGCAGUGCACUGGCGCGUUUCUGACACUGAAGCACGAAAGCGUGGGUAGCGAACGGG
rnacentral:rRNA from 1 species